rnacentral:rRNA from 1 species
GACGAACGCUGGCGGCGUGCUUAACACAUGCAAGUCGAGCGGUAAGGCCCUUUCGGGGGUACACGAGCGGCGAACGGGUGAGUAACGCGUGGGUGACCUGCCCUUAGCUCUGGGAUAAGCCUGGGAAACUGGGUCUAAUACCGGAUAUGACUCCAUAACGCAUGUUGUGGGGUGGAAAGCCUUGUGCGGCUAGGGAUGGGCCCGCGGCCUAUUAGCUUGUUGGUGGGGUGAUGGCCUACCAAGGCGACGACGGGUAGCCGGCCUGAGAGGGCGACCGGCCACACUGGGACUGGGACACGGCCCAGACUCCUACGGGAGGCAGCAGUGGGGAAUCUUGCGCAAUGGCGAAAGCCUGACGCAGCGACGCCGCGUGGGGA